UGCAAGUCGAACGCGAAAGGGACUUCGGUCCUGAGUAAAGUGGCGCACGGGUGAGUAACGCGUAGAUAACCUGUCUUCAUGUCUGGAAUAAUACGCCGAAAGGGGUACUAAUACCGGAUAUUCUUGCUUUUCAUAAGUUAUGCAAGCAAAGGUGGCCUCUGCAUAUGCUACUGCAUGAAGAGGGGUCUGCGUACCAUUAGCUAGUAGGUGGGGUAAUGGCCUACCUAGGCGACGAUGGUUAGCGGGUCUGAGAGGAUGAUCCGCCACACUGGCACUGGAACACGGGCCAGACUCCUACGGGAGGCAGCAGUGAGGAAUAUUGCGCAAUGGGGGAAACCCUGACGCAGCGACGCCGCGUGAGUGAAGGAAGGCCUUCGGGUCGUAAAGCUCUGUCAAGAGGAAAGAAGUGUACAAUGGCUAAUACCUGUUGUAUUUGACGGUACCUCUAAAGGAAGCACCGGCUAACUCCGUGCCAGCAGCGGC
rnacentral:rRNA from 1 species